rnacentral:rRNA from 1 species
GAGUUUGAUCGUGGCUCAGAUUGAGCGCUGGCGGCAUGCCUUACACAUGCAAGUCGAACGGCAGCACGGGAGCUUGCUCCUGGUGGCGAGUGGCGAACGGGUGAGUAAUGCAUCGGAACGUAUCCUGGAGUGGGGGAUAACGUAGCGAAAGUUACGCUAAUACCGCAUAUUCUGUGAGCAGGAAAGCGGGGGACCUUCGGGCCUCGCGCUCUUGGAGCGGCCGAUGUCGGAUUAGCUAGUUGGUGAGGUAAAGGCUCACCAAGGCGACGAUUCGUAGCAGGUCUGAGAGGAUGAUCUGCCACACUGGAACUGAGACACGGUCCAGACUCCUACGGGAGGCAGCAGUGGGGAAUUUUGGACAAUGGUGGCAACCCUGAUCCAGCCAUGCCGCGUGAGUGAAGAAGGCCUCGGUUGUAAGUACGUACUUCGUCGUACGGAAGGAAAGUUA